UACGAAGGGGGCUAGCGUUGUUCGGAAUCACUGGGCGUAAAGCGCACGUAGGCGGAUCUUUAAGUCAGGGGUGAAAUCCCGAGGCUCAACCUCGGAACUGCCUUUGAUACUGGGGAUCUCGAGUCCGGGAGAGGUGAGUGGAAUUGCGAGUGUAGAGGUGAAAUUCGUAGAUAUUCGCAAGAACACCAGUGGCGAAGGCGGACUCACUGGCCCGGUACUGACGCUGAGGUGCGAAAGCGUGGGGAGCAAAGCAGG
rnacentral:rRNA from 1 species